rnacentral:rRNA from 1 species
GACGAACGCUGGCGGCGUGCUUAACACAUGCAAGUCGAACGGAAAGGCCCUGCUUUGGUGCGCUGCGCGGCGGGCGACCGGGGGAGUAACACGUGAGUACCCUAUACCUCCCUGUGGGAUGACCUAAGACCGCUGGGGCUAAUACCGGCUAGGAGCUCCUGCCGCAUGGUGGGGGUGGGAUAGUUUCGGCGGUUGGGGAUGGACUCGCGGCUCAUCAGCUUGUUGGUGGGGUAGUGGCUUACCAAGGCUUUGACGGGUAGCAGGCCUGAGAGGGUGAGCGGACAAGUUAGGACUGAGAUACGGCCCGGACUAGUAUCGUAGGCAAGAGUGGGGAGUAUUGCACAAGGGGAGGGAGCCUGAUGUGGCAACGCCGCGUGCGGGAAGAGGGGCUUCGGGUAGUAAUCCGCUUUCCUCUGUGACGAAGCGUGAGUGACGGUAACGGGAGAAGAAGCACCGGCUAACUACGUG